rfam:Solanum lycopersicum cultivar Heinz 1706 chromosome 2, whole genome shotgun sequence.
GAAAGUGAUGACAGUGAUUGUCGCCCCAGUCUUAAGUUGCAUCCAAUUUAUUGGAUUCGCAAGGUGGUGAUUGACUCAUUGUUUCUGAUCC